rnacentral:rRNA from 1 species
CAGCCGCCGCGGGAACACAGAGGGUGCGAGCGUUAAUCGGAUUUACUGGGCGUAAAGCGUGCGUAGGCGGCUUUUUAAGUCGGAUGUGAAAUCCCUGAGCUUAACUUAGGAAUUGCAUUCGAUACUGGGAAGCUAGAGUAUGGGAGAGGAUGGUAGAAUUCCAGGUGUAGCGGUGAAAUGCGUAGAGAUCUGGAGGAAUACCGAUGGCGAAGGCAGCCAUCUGGCCUAAUACUGACGCUGAGGUACGAAAGCAUGGGGAGCAAACAGGAUUAGAUACCCGCGUAGUCCCUGUCUCUUAUAC